rnacentral:rRNA from 1 species
GAGCGAAUGGAUUGAGAGCUUGCUCUCAAGAAGUUAGCGGCGGACGGGUGAGUAACACGUGGGUAACCUGCCCAUAAGACUGGGAUAACUCCGGGAAACCGGGGCUAAUACCGGAUAACAUUUUGAACUGCAUGGUUCGAAAUUGAAAGGCGGCUUCGGCUGUCACUUAUGGAUGGACCCGCGUCGCAUUAGCUAGUUGGUGAGGUAACGGCUCACCAAGGCAACGAUGCGUAGCCGACCUGAGAGGGUGAUCGGCCACACUGGGACUGAGACACGGCCCAGACUCCUACGGGAGGCAGCAGUAGGGAAUCUUCCGCAAUGGACGAAAGUCUGACGGAGCAACGCCGCGUGAGUGAUGAAGGCUUUCGGGUCGUAAAACUCUGUUGUUAGGGAAGAACAAGUGCUAGUUGAAUAAGCUGGCACCUUGACGGUACCUAACCAGAAAGCCACGGCUAACUACGUGCCAGCAGCCGCGGUAAUACGUAGGUGGCAAGCGUUAUCCGGAAUUAUUGGGCGUAAAGCGCGCGCAGGUGGUUUCUUAAGUCUGAUGUGAAAGCCCACGGCUCAACCGNGGAGGGUCAUUGGAAACUGGGAGACUNGAGUGCAGAAGAGGAAAGUGGNAAUUCCAUG